AGCGAACGCUGGCGGCAGGCUUAACACAUGCAAGUCGAGCGGGCACUUUCGGGUGUCAGCGGCGGACGGGUGAGUAACGCGUGGGAACGUGCCCUCUGGUUCGGAAUAACUCAGGGAAACUUGAGCUAAUACCGGAUACGCCCUUUUGGGGAAAGGCUUGCUGCCGGAGGAUCGGCCCGCGUCUGAUUAGCUAGUUGGUGAGGUAACGGCUCACCAAGGCGAGGAUCAGUAGCUGGGCUGAGAGGAUGAUCAGCCACACUGGGACUGAGACACGGCCCAGACUCUUACGGGAGGCAGGAGUGGGGAAUAUUGGACCAUGGGCGCAAGGCUGAUCCAGCCAGGCCGCGUGAGUGAUGAAGGCCUUAGGGUUGUAAAGCUCUUUUAUCCGGGACGAUAAUGACGGUACCGGAGGAAUAAGCCCCGGCUAACUUCGUG
rnacentral:rRNA from 1 species